AUGGGCGAUCCCCCGUGUAAGAGUGAGGUGGAGGAGGACAUUCCAGUCCAUGUGACCACAGGAAAUGCCAAUAAGAACUCUGCGGGAACCAUCAUGUUAUCGCCGGUAGAAAAUGGAGCUAUCAUUCCGCACUCUUCAGGA